UUUUUGUUUGUCUUUUUUAUUUUUAUGUAAAUUGAAAGUUUUAUUCUUGCUUUAGAUUAUGUUUUUUUGAUGUUUUAUAUAUAACUUUUGUUAGGUUAAAUACUGUGUUUUUGUAGUGGUUAUUAUUGGAUAUUAAGUUAUUUUAGAUUCAGCAAUUUUUUUAGAAAAGGCUAAUGUCGUGCCAGCAGCCGCGGUUAUACGUUAUUUUCUUAUAUAAUUUUUUUGGGGGCAGUUAUUUAUUUUUUGGUAUUUUAAUGUUUCAAUAUUUGGUGGAAUAUUAUUUUGGUGUAUUAUACUUGAAUAAUUUUGAUCUGUUAAGGCUAGAGCUUAAACUAGGAUUAGAUACCCUAUUAUUUUAGAAUUAAUUCUAUCCCAGGGUAGUACAGUUUUUCUAGAAACUCAAAGAAUUUGGCGGCAUUUUAUCUUUUUAGAGGAACCUGUUCCGUGAUUGAUGUUACACGAUUGGCUAUACUAAAUUUAUUUGUUUGUAUAUCUCCGUUAUUAGAAGAUUUAAGGGUAAUAUCUUCGGUUUUUUUUAUUGGAAUUGAUUUCAGGUCAAGGUGCAGCUUAUAAUUUAGUUGGAAAUGGGUUACAAUAAUUUAAUUUAAAUGGAUUUUCAUUUUAGAUUUUGGAUUGAAGGUGGAUUUAUUAGUAAAAUUUAAUAAUUAUUAAUUUUGAAUUAGUUCUGAUUUGUGUACAUAUCGCCCGUCACUCUCAUUUUUUGAGAUAAGUCGUAACAAAGUAGAUUUACUGGAAGGUGAAUCUGGUUG
rnacentral:ncRNA from 1 species